rnacentral:lncRNA from 1 species
ACAUUCCACCCAGCCUGACUGCUCUGGAAGGAAGAAUCCCUGCAAGGUGAGUGUUAUUAUAUCCAUUUGUGGACCAGGACUGCGGCUCAGAAGCUUUUCCCAGGACACUGAACUCUGACAGGUGAAUAGCUGCCAAGUGGUGGAGGUUGGCCUGCAGUGAGCAUCAGUCUGACUUCGAAGGACAGAAUGACACAUGGUACAAGCUUUCUGUCUUACUGCCACACGUCAGUGUCCUGGGAGAUGAACCAGAUGCAGCUCCCUGAUGAAUGUGGGAAUAAAAAUUUAUAUCAGAAUCGACACUGGUUAUAAUGUGAAUUUAUGACAUUACUUGAGAAUAUUCAAUUCUGCUGUAGAGGACAAAAAAAAUGGAAUAAUGAAAUCCAUCAUAAACCCUGGGCAUAGUUGAUGAUAAAAGUGCUGGCCAGGCGUGGUGGCUCAUGCCUGUAAUCCCAGCACUUUGGGAGGCCGAGGCGGGUGGAUUACCUGAGAUCAGGAGUUCAAGACCAGCCUGGCUAACAUGGCGAAACCCCGUCUCUGCUAAAAAUACAAAAAUUAGCUGGGUGUAGUGGCAUGCACCUGUAAUCCGAGCUAUCCAGGAGACUGAGACAGGAGAAUCGCUUGAACCUGGAGGCAGUAAGCCAAGAUCGCACCAUUGCAUUCCAGCCUAGGCGACAGAGCAAGACUCUGUCUCAAAAAAAAAAAAAAAAAAAAGUGCUCUGACGUUAUAUUAUGGUGUUGGUCGCACAACUUUGUGAAUAUAUGAGAAGUCAUGGAAUUGUAUACUUUCAAUGAAUAAAUUAUAAGGCAUACAAGUUAUAUCUCAAUAAAGCUGUUUGCUAAAUUUGGACGUCACUUUUUUUUUAAACAGCUUUGUUGAGGUAUAACUCUGGUGUUAUACGUUUAGUAUUUGUUUGUUCACCUCUAUCAUAAGCUAUAUAAGCUAUAUGUCUCUUAGGACUGGGAUCAUUUUUAUCAAUUGUUACACCUCCACUUCCUUGUAUAGUACUUUUUGCCCGAAUGUUAAUUUAAAAAUGUUUGUUGAAUGAUACAUUUUAGGCUAAAUGAAUACAGUUUGCAUCAGCAUUAGGGUAGACAUGUCACAUGUAGUCCACUAACCCUCCCCAAGUCUUUUAUGUGAGUUGUUGUUAAGCCAGGGCAAUUCUAUCCUGUACUUGGGCAGAAAUUUCUUGAAAAAAAUCAAAGUUAAGAGUUUACAUUUAUUUUAAAAUUUUUAUCAUGUUAGAACCCAUCAGUCAUUUUAGCCAGUUAAGUGUUUUUUUUUUUUUUUUUUUUUUUUGAGAUGGAGUCUUGCUGUUUUGCCCAGGCUGGAGUGCAGUAGUGCGAUCUUGGCUCACUGCAACAUCUGCCUCCCAGGUUCAAGUGGUUCUCCUGCCUUAGCCUCCCCAGUAGCUGGGGUGACAGGUAUGCACCAUGUUGCCCAAGUUUUUGCAUUAUUUAGUAGAGAUGGGGUUUCACCACAUUGCCCAGGCUGGUCUUGAACUCUUGACGUCAAGUGAUCUGCCCGCCUCGGCCUCCAAAGGUGCUGGGAUUACAGGCAUGAGCCACUGCGCCCAGCCAAGAUUUUCUUGGAUUUUUUUCUCUGUCAUUAAGUGUAGUCUCUAUUUCUACCUGCUUUGUACUACAAACCAAUUUAAAUAAGCAUGCUGUCUUUCUCCAUAAAAACAUUAAACUGUAGAACAAUGUUUUUAUGGAGAAAAAGAGCUAAAGUCACAUGCUGGUGGAGCAUAAAACGCUCACUUGAAGAACACCUUGGUAAUGGCUCCAGCUAACUGUACCAUGACCUAAUCCUGUGGCUGGAACCUCUGGGGAGUCUUAUCCACCUCCCCAAAUCCAUUUGACAAGCUCAGGUCCAAUACCACUUCUUUCAUGGGCUAUUCUCUGAUCUUCUCAGAAUGUCUAUCUUCUAUUGAAUUUGCCACAAUAUUUUGUUUGUACUACUCUUGAGACAUCCCACACAACCUUGAAUUAUAAUUGCUCACAUGGGUGUCUCAGCAUUUAUUCUAGACCAUAAGAUACUUAAAAGGAGGAAUUGUGAUUUCUUUGACAGUUUUGUCUCUUAGAAUUUAAGGGUGAGGGUGCUUAAUAAGUAUUAGAAAUAACGGAUAAGUAAAAUAUUCAGUGCUAUUAAAAAUACUAUUAAAUCUCAACACCUCCAGGGGUUACAUAUCUGAAAAAAGAUAUCAUACAUAUCUAUAUAAAUUCUAAAAUAAAUUGAAAUAGUCCAUAUCAAAAACCCUGCUGGAGUAGGUAACUCUUCACAAUCGACUUCAAUUAUUCAUGAUAUAAUUUUUGCAGGCACAUCAAAAAUUGUAUGUUUAGAGGUUAGAGGAUGAAUCCUCUUACAGUUUUCAAACCAGUCUGUACUAGCUUGAAAUGUAAUGUUUCUUGCACUUGAAUUUUCCCUGCUUUGUGUCUGCCAGUCUUGGCCCAAUGCUUGGGUACUUUUUUUAUGUUAUUGUGGUGCUUACAGGUGUUUUUCCAGCUGUGUUUUUCUAUCCUGAGGUUACAUCGGAGUAUGACAUGAUCAAACCUCUUCUUUGCACCAUGUCACAGAACCACCUUAAUGGAAGAGUGGACAAUAACUAUUGUGGUUUUCUCCUAUUUCAGGUGAUGGAAUGGAACCAUGUGUGUACAAAAAGAUACAGGAAUGUACAUAUUCAGUUUGCAAUAUAAAAACAUACACUGUGAUUGGAGAGGGAUUACAACAUUCUAAUUGCAAUUUUUGUCAUUUAUUCAAUAAAUAUUUCCUGGCUGGGUAUGAUGGCUCAAAGUGCCUGUAAUCCCAGCACUUUGGGAGGCCAAAGCAGGCAAAUCACCUGAGGUCAGGAGUUUGAGACCAGCCUGGCCACCAUGGUGAAACCCCAUCUCUACUAAAAAUACACAAAUUAGCUGGGUGUGGUGGUGCAUGCCUGUAAUCUCAGCUACCUGGGAGGCUGAGGCAGGAGAAUUGCUUGAACUCGGGAGGCGGAGGUUGCAGUGAGCUGAGAUUGCACCACUGCACCCCAGCCUGGGCAACAGAGUGAGACUCUGUCUCAAAACAAACAAACAAACAAACAAACAAAUUCCUGAGUGCCUACCAUAUGCUGAUUAAACUGUUCUAGAUGUUGGAGAUGCAGCUAUGGACAAGACAAAUACAGUCUCUUCUCUCCAGGAAUUUACCUUCUAAUGGAGGAGAGAGACAAAAACAACUUUGUACAUAAACCUUUUCUGAUAGUCAUUAAGAAAAUAAAGCAACAUGGUGUCCAAAUUCUAGAUUGCUCAUUUUAAAGGCUAGGGUGCCUAAAACCACAAGGAACAUUUCAGAAUUAGUAACAUUCAUACUUCGUAGAGCUAUACUUAGGCUAAUAAAUGUUUGGUAUUGUUGCCUCCCCAACAGCCACCUCAGACCACCUCCUGACUCCAAGUUUCCCUGCUCAUCAAUCCAAAAUUUUGUUGAAUAUACUACUUCCCCACCCCCAAUGGAGCUUAAGGGUUAACCUGAACUCUCUAAACCAAUCAGGGCAUUCCUACUGUCUUUGAUCGUGAGUGUUGUAGGCAGAGACAUAUAACCCAAUCCUUGCUAAUGAGACUUGAGGUAGGACCCCAGCUUCCGGAGAGGUUGCCUGGCUCCUAAAAAGAGAAAGAUACCGGAAAAGAGAUGGACUCUUCUACCACUGGAAAUCAGAUGGUGUCCUGAGUGACAUAAGUGUACUUACAACAGCCAUUUUGCAACCAUAAAGAAGCCAGUGGGAAUACACAGGCUACGUGUCCUCGAAGGCACAGAAGAAAGAAGAGAGAAAACUAUAUUCUUGAUGACACAGUUGAGCUACAGAAUUGUCCAACCCCGGAGGUGCCCCACUUCGCGUUGUGGGAGAUAAUGCAUUUUCCUUGCUGUUUAAACCACUUUGAGCUGAGUUUUCUAUUACCAGCAGCCUAAAGCAUUUUGACAGAUAAAAGUAGAUACAAAUGCACAUAUAUAAUGAGCAUCCUGACUGAACGAUUAAAUGUGUAUGUAGGCAUGCAUUACCUCCCCACUCCAUUUAUGAUUGUCACAUUUAUUUUUACUUCAGGGAAAAGCAACUAUAGAAUUUAAAAAAUCAGGAUUGAAAACAAAUACCUGAAUUUCCUACAAUUAAAAAAUCAAUCCAUUAAGUAGUGGUAUUAUGCUAAAAUAAAAUGAAUGCUUAGAAAUUUGUUAAGUGUUUAUGAUGUAAUAAGACAUCAAAUAAACCAUUUUUCUUUAAGUUCUUUAAUAAAAAAAAUCUGAUGUGGAGUCCAGUCUUUCAUUUUUAUCACUGGAAUAAAUAGAGAAUAGUCAUUGCAAUCAAUUGCCUGUUUGUUUCCCCAGAG